GACGAACGCUGGCGGCGUGCUUAACACAUGCAAGUCGAGCGGAGAUACGUAGCAAUAUGUAUCUUAGCGGCGGACGGGUGAGUAACGCGUGGGCAACCUGCCUUAGACAGGGGGAUAACACAGGGAAACUUGUGCUAAUACCGCAUAAGAUCACAUAAUGGCAUCAUUGAGUGAUCAAAGGAGCAAUCCGGUCUAAGAUGGGCCCGCGUCCGAUUAGCUAGUUGGUGGGGUAAAGGCCUACCAAGGCGACGAUCGGUAGCCGAACUGAGAGGUUGAUCGGCCACAUUGGGACUGAGACACGGCCCAGACUCCUACGGGUGGCUG
rnacentral:rRNA from 1 species